CAACAUUACAGGCUUAGAGAUGUGGCACAACAGGUUUGGGAGCUGGAACGCAGCAGGCCACCAAAGAAAACACCGUCUAUCGCUCUCAUCACCGAGAGACGUUUUAGCUUCGGACUUCAGUGACAUCAACUCGAACAGAUCAUCUGAUGGAGGUUCGUGCUAACGCAACACAAAGCCACAGAAUAUGUUGAUUUAUUCAUCUCAUGGAUGAUUAUUACUGUAUGAUGAAGGUCUAUAACUCCUUUAAUGAAGAGCAGUCAACCUCCCAUUUGUGUGAAAGCAGCCGAAAAUGUGUCUGUUCACACGUAUCGACCCUAAAGGAUCCUGCAGCAUUUGUCCAAAACACGGCAGCCAGGAGUGAGCUGAGCACCCACAGGUUCAGGCAGCUUCUGUUCAUGUCUCUGGCUCCGUCCAUCCUGGACCACGGAGCCCAAAGUCUAAGUCGUGGCAGCAGUUAGAACACGAGCAGACGGCGCUGGGAUCAACAGACCAGGUGGUGGAGCUCAGAAGAACAGCAGAGGCUGGAGAAGCUGGUGUCUGAGGUGGAAGCGAGGUCUGCGCCAUCGACAGGCUGAGAUCUGGCACAUGUCUCACAUGUCUCACAUGUCUCACAUGUCCAGGCUUUGGCCUCCACAAAAGACACCACCCAUUGAGAGCAGCCACGAACAGAGCGUUUUAUGUGACUGAUGUUAAAAGACAAACGCUUCACCAGAGGAAUGAAGGAGCUUUAGGUUUGAUCUUUUUAUUACAGACACAAGGAGUUCAGCUUCUUUUACUGUGUGAUGGUCACACAGCACCAGCAGACGGGGCUCGUGGACGUCAGCAGGCGUAGCCGUCGUCCAGGGCGUUGGCACAGGCCGGGUUGAAGAUGAGCUGGAUGCUGUGAACAAACACACCCUUAAUGCAGUCACGCCCUGAGAAGAUGGGAUUCAGGCGUGAAUGGGACUUACUAUUGCUGUAUUUUCUGGUCUGCUUCAAAGCCGUGUUCACUGUAAAACACACAAGAGACAGAUCAGCUCUGAGAACAAUCCUGAAAGCAGACGCCUGGAAUCAGAACCCAAGCCUCGCUUUGCCCACAGACCCGACAGAGCGGAAGCUGAACCUACAGGAAGAGGAGGAGGAGCCUAAACAGGCACAAGGCGUCGUCUUCAAUGUCACUGUUGACGAAGUCUGGAGGAACGAGAGGACGACACAGGAAAAGGUUCCGUGAGGCGACGGUGCCGUCGCUGCAGACCAGGUCGUUCGGGAGCUGGAAGGUCCCGUAGAAGGUGACGUUGGGGCCGCGGCCGUCGAGCUGCGUCACGGCGCUGGUGUUGAGGCCGUUGGCCACGUUGGCG